AAGUCGUAACAAGGUAACCGUAGGUGAACCUGCGGUUGGAUCAUUAAUAAAUUUGGAAAUUUCAAAUUUCCGAACCUUGUGUGCACUAGUAUCUGUCUCUGGCAGGGUUUAACUGGGGUUUCGAGCUUGGGUGUAACAACCUGGGAUUUGGAAUCCCCUGCCUGCCGAAAGGCGUCCGGUUUCAACUGGGCGCCUUGUAUUGAAUAAACCAAUGUAUGAAUUUUUUAUAGUCUGAUUCUAUUCACUUUGUGUGAAAUGGAAAAAACAACUUUUGACAACGGAUCUCUUGGCUCUC
rnacentral:misc_RNA from 1 species